AUGAUCUUCUCUGUUACCUAUGGUAGGAACUCCUCAUGGAUUUUCUUCUGUGAAGAAGAUACGAGAAUACAAGUUGUAAAGCUGCUAGAAACACUUGGAAGAUUUGACGGGUCUAAGGAGUGGUUUUUAGGUAAAGCAUUAUAUGAUGAAGAAUCGACAAUAAUUCACCAUUAUGCCUUUGCCGAAAAUCCUACAGUCUUUAAAUUUCCAGAUUUUGCUGCUGGUUGGGCACUUAGCAUUCCACUUGUUAACAAGCUUGCAAAGAAGUUGAAAAGUGAACCACUCAAGUCAGACUUUACAAUAGAUUUAAAGCAUGAGAUUGCCCUGUAUAUUUGGCAGAGAGGGGAAGGACCACAUCUUACUCCAGUGCCUGAGUUCUGCACAGAUGAUGUGAACUCAUAUAAGGUUGAACAUUGUGCAACAACAUUCAGUAAUUUUCUGCCACUUUGUGGAGAGCCAGUGAAAAAGGAAGAUGUUUUUGUUGCUGUAAAAACAUGUCGGAAAUUUCAUGGUGACAGAAUACCAGUUGUAAAGCAGACUUGGGAAAGAGAAGCUGCCCUUAUUGAAUACUACAGUGAUUAUGCAGACAUCUCCAUUCCUACUAUAGAUUUAGGCAUACCUAAUACUGACAGAGGUCACUGUGGGAAAACUUUUGCCAUUUUAGAAAGGUUUAUAAAUCAUAGCUCUCCCAGAACUCCUUGGUUAGUUGUAGUGGAUGAUGACACACUAAUAAGUAUCUUCAGACUCCGAAAAUUGCUCAGCUGCUAUGAUCCAAAUGAACCAGUAUUUCUUGGAGAGCGUUAUGGUUACGGCUUGGGAACAGGAGGAUAUAGUUAUAUCACUGGCGGAGGAGGAAUGGUCUUCAGCAGAAUAGCUGUUCAGAAACUACUUGCUAGUAAAUGCCGGUGUUACAGCAUGGAUGCGCCUGAUGAUAUGGUCCUUGGGAUGUGUUUCAGUGGCUUAGGAAUCCCUAUAACACACAGUCCACUUUUCCAUCAGGCAAGGCCAAUGGACUACCCGAAGGGUUACCUUUCUCACCAAAUUCCAGUAUCAUUUCACAAACAUUGGAAUAUUGAUCCAGUGAAGGUAUAUUUCACAUGGCUGGCACCAAACACAGAAGAGUCGCUUAAUGGAAAGAAAGUUAGAUAUAACAGAGAGGAUUUAUAAGCAGUAGAAGAAUGUAUGUGUCAAUUCAUGUACUGCAGAUAAGAGACAGUCACUACUGUGAUUUUUGUGGUGUUUUCACGUUGUUCAUCUCUUCGUGACAUAGAAGAAAAUGUUUUGUUCCCAUUUGUUGCAUUCCUUCAGAGCAAUGGAAGAAGGCACCUAAAUUGACUUUUGGAUUCUUUUGUUACACUUGUUUUCUUUUUAAAAUGUUUUUGGGAUUUGUAUACCAAUGAACUUGACACGCAUUUAAAAUGUCUCAUAUAACUUCACCUGUGUUCUGGUUUGGAGUUUGAGUCAGACAACAUCAAUUUACAUUUCCUUCCUUUGUUCUCCCAAAAGCUGAAGUGUAUUUGGGAGCCUGAUAUUGAACAUGUGUUGAACAUCUAUUGAACAUCAUCUCCCACAGAGCUACAGAAAAUUGUUCUCUAAACUGUUCUGGAACAGGUUCUUAAUAAAUCAGAGAGGAGACAUGAUAUUGUUUCUGUG
rnacentral:lncRNA from 1 species